CAGGUUCUCCUUCAGAAGCUUCAGAUGUUUUUAAUAGCUCAGAAGAAAAUGAAGUAUAUGAAGCAGCUUACCAAUCAUUUGAUUCUGUAAAGCAGUUCAACAUGUCAUAUCACAGAACCAAUCAAAGAAGUCCUGAAAGCACAAACGAAACAACACACAUAGCUCAAUUCCAUGCUGUUCCUGGAUAUUCUUGUUUAAUUGAUGAAUUCUCUCCUUUACAAAAGACUGAAAGUGAUACACCAGUACCUACAAUAGUAAAUGAUGUUAAGCUUAAUGUGGAUUUUAGUGAGGGGACAAAGGAAAGAAAACAUUGCAAGACAGCCUUGUCACAUCCUCCACCCUGUGAUGAUGAGAAACAGGCUUCUGAUGGUGAUGCCAAUUUUCGAAGCGGAUUUGAUCGAAACCAGUCUUAUUCUAAUGAUAAUUUAUUUAGUGCAUAUGAAACUAGAAUUCAUUCCUCUAAACUGCAGCCACCUAACCCAAACAAGAAAGAAGAUGAUUACAAUAAAUCAAUGGAUUCAAACUUCAAAGCUUCUACAAGUG
rnacentral:lncRNA from 1 species